CAUACCUGAAUGUUCCUGAUCUCAUCUGAUCUCCCAAGUUAAGCAGGGUCAGGCUUGGUUAGUAACUGGAUGGGAGAUUAAUCAUCACAUCAGU
rnacentral:rRNA from 1 species